ACAGGUGCUGCAGAUGGACUGCUGUGGGUCUGGGGAUACUGUGUGCUCUGCUGCUGGGGCUCUCCAUAGGACUGGCUGUCUGGCUACUGCCCGAGAGAGAUCAGCUGCUGACCAAUCAAAACAACCUGCUGACCAAUCACAGCAACUUGCUCAAGGAGAGAGAUCAACUGCUGCAAUACAAGCGUUGCUAUGAUGGUUUGGGGCAGAGUUGUCCUACUGGAUGGGAUGUCUUCGAGUGCAACUGUUACCACAACACACGUCAUGUUAUAAGUUGGUCUGCCAGCAGGAAGUACUGCCAGUCUCUUGGAGGAGACCUGGUGGUCAUCAACAGCCCAGAGGAGCAGUGGUUUAUAACUGCAAAGAAAUACGGUGGCUGGAUUGGAUUGACGAAGCGGGAGAGUGGAAGUUGGCGAUGGAUCGAUAACACAACUAUCUCCACAUGGUACUGGAACCCUACCCGCCGUGACUCUGCUGCAACUGGGUGUGCGGCCAUCCAUCAGUCCACCACCACCAAUAAUACCUGGUGCUAUUACAACUGUGCCAGCAGUGGGCAUUGGUCCAUCUGUGAGAAGUCAGCCUUCGCCACGGCUUGACAUUAGCAUUUGAAGAGCACGGAUGCAAAGAUAC